UACGAAGGGUGCAAGCGUCGUUCGGAAUGACUGGGCGUAAAGGGCGCGUAGGCGGUUUUGUACGUUUGAUGUGAAAGUCCUGGGCUUAACCUGGGGACGGCAUUGGAUACGGCAGAGCUAGAGAGCGAGAGAGGGAAACGGAAUAGUGCGUGUAGAGGUGAAAUUCGUAGAUAUGCACUAGAACACCGGAGGCGAAGGCGGUUUCCUGGCUCGCAACUGACGCUAAGGCGCGAAAGCGUGGGGAGCGAACAGG
rnacentral:rRNA from 1 species